rnacentral:lncRNA from 13 species
CAACAAAGGAACCAUGUUUUACAAACGUGGCCUUCUUGCUGAUGUGUUUUACCCAAGCUCAUAAAUCCCGCUGUCAGAGAAAAGGCCACAGAGGAGCAUGCCAUUUCGGCAUUGAAGUGAGUGCUUAAGUCCGUCUGCUCAGCUCGUGCGCCACGCCGCUUGGCUUGCUGUGUAUCUUUCCCCUUCAUCACCUGGGCAGGAGCUUCCUGGCCAGCUCUGAUGUCCAGGGACAGGAACUGGGUGACUUGGGGCUGAGGGUCUGCACUGGCACCGGCAGUGGCAGACCACAGGGCUGCUUCUACUCCCUCAUGAGGGUGGUCUUCAGUGAAGGGGCAAGAAAAGCCAUCACGGUCGAUGUGCUAUUCUGGUAUCUGUGUAUCCUUUUUGCAAAGUAACUGUUUGAAUCUUUUGCCAUUAAAGAAACCUAUGUCAGGCACAGGGGCUCACACCUGUAAUCUCAACACGUUGGAGGCCGAGGCAGGAGGAUUGCUUGAGCCCAGGAGUUCAAGACCAGCCUGGAUGACAAAGUCAGGUGAAGCACUGCUCCUGGCCCAGGUCUCCUGCGGCGCACUCAGGUCGGUGACCUUUGACCCACUGCAAACUCUGCCGCCAGGAUGUUGGGAUGGCUGUGGUCCCAGUUUCUACGAACAAGUCACGUCUGCCAGAGGUUGCAGCUUUUCUGGUGGGAAUCUUCUCUGCAGGAUGAUUUCCACCUAACACAGACACGUGGUCCUGUGGUGCUGUUUGUUAAGACAGCUGCGUGCUGCGCGGAAGAUUCCAGGUCUGUCUGUGAGAAAGUGAGUCUGGGCUGUGUGGCUGGUAGGGCUGGGCGUCCUCUGGGGACUCCAGGAUAGGUCGGAAAGGAAGUGCGCCUGGUGGAUGAGGGGUGUCAGGCCUGCAGUGGGAACGGCGGGGGGGGCAUGUGGCCUGAAGCCCAGGCCCUCUCCUGAGAAGGGCUGAUGUUGGGGCUCCUCCCCCGUGGGCUGGAGGAGGCUGCGUGGAUCCUGGGGAGGCGUAAGGGAAUCUGCAGCUGUGAGAGGAAACGGAGCAGGAUCGACCCCAUGGCAGCGGUCUUGGGCAUGGGACAUUCUCUUCCCUAAUCUUUUAUUUCGAGUUGGUUUUUCUUAAAAAAGCUUUUGUUUUGUUGGCAAAAUGUAAAAGGUCUCUGUUGCUUUUUUAACAUUUUGUACUUGAAAUCAGCAGAUGGCAAAAUUGGCUUUUGCUUUUUGGUGGAUACUUCUUUGAAUGUUGGCACCUGUGUAGAUUCCGGAUACAGCACAAACCUCCCUUCUUUGAAAAGCCUCGAAGAAGCCCUGUCCCGAGCCUGUAGGACAGCACCCCCGUGUUUUCCACACUACGACUCUGUGUCUUUGAGAAUGUGGAGUAAACGACGCUCUGCAGGGUCUCCCUCCACACGCCGGCUUCCAGGUCCGUCUGAGGUGACGCACGUCUGCAGGGGUUUCCUUUCAUUGCCAGUGGCAUCCUCACACAGGGGCACCUCAGCUUGUGCAUCCGCUCACCUGGGGAGGGCUUAGCGUUGCUUCCUCUUUGGCCGUCACGAGCUGUGCUGCUCUGAGCCCCCGUGCAGCUUCCUGGGACCACCGGUCCUCACUUCUCCAGAGGGAAUCCCCAAGAGUGGGUUGCUGGGCCAUGUGCUAAGUGUGUGUUUCUCCUUACAGGAAACUGACAGACCAUUCUCCAGGGAGGCUGCACCUGCCCUGAAGCCGCUGGCUUGCUCGCCAGAUACCUGGAGCUUUCGGCACCUGGGAGAAGGCAAGGACGGAAGUGUGAUCAACCUGGACCACGGCCACCACCUUCCACAGGGCACGGGGAAGCUGGGGCAGGGCUGGUGUGGCAUCCCAGAGCCACAGGCUUCCAAGGGCCAUUCACGCUCUGACAGUGGGCCUCUCUGGGGCACCCACUGGGAGGAGGUGGGUGGGCAUCUCCAUCCACUCUCAUUUGUGGGACAGCAGAUGGGGGAUCCCUGAUAAUGGCUGUGGUUGACAAUUCAGCCAGCCUGGUAGGGUGGGGCUCUGAGGCGGACGUAACUUAAAGCAGGAAAAUAAAAUAAUUCCACGCUCUGGGCA